rnacentral:rRNA from 1 species
AAAUUGAAGAGUUUGAUCAUGGCUCAGAUUGAACGCUGGCGGCAGGCCUAACACAUGCAAGUCGAACGGUAACAGGAAGCAGCUUGCUGCUUUGCUGACGAGUGGCGGACGGGUGAGUAAUGUCUGGGAAACUGCCUGAUGGAGGGGGAUAACUACUGGAAACGGUGGCUAAUACCGCAUAACGUCGCAAGACCAAAGAGGGGGACCUUCGGGCCUCUUGCCAUCAGAUGUGCCCAGAUGGGAUUAGCUUGUUGGUGAGGUAACGGCUCACCAAGGCGACGAUCCCUAGCUGGUCUGAGAGGAUGACCAGCCACACUGGAACUGAGACACGGUCCAGACUCCUACGGGAGGCAGCAGUGGGGAAUAUUGCACAAUGGGCGCAAGCCUGAUGCAGCCAUGCCGCGUGUAUGAAGAAGGCCUUCGGGUUGUAAAGUACUUUCAGCGGGGAGGAAGGUGUUGUGGUUAAUAACCACAGCAAUUGACGUUACCCGCAGAAGAAGCACCGGCUAACUCCGUGCCAGCAGCCGCGGUAAUACGGAGGGUGCAAGCGUUAAUCGGAAUUACUGGGCGUAAAGCGCACGCAGGCGGUCUGUCAAGUCGGAUGUGAAAUCCCCGGGCUCAACCUGGGAACUGCAUUCGAAACUGGCAGGCUUGAGUCUUGUAGAGGGGGGUAGAAUUCCAGGUGUAGCGGUGAAAUGCGUAGAGAUCUGGAGGAAUACCGGUGGCGAAGGCGGCCCCCUGGACAAAGACUGACGCUCAGGUGCGAAAGCGUGGGGAGCAAACAGGAUUAGAUACCCUGGUAGUCCACGCCGUAAACGAUGUCUACUUGGAGGUUGUGCCCUUGAGGCGUGGCUUCCGGAGCUAACGCGUUAAGUAGACCGCCUGGGGAGUACGGCCGCAAGGUUAAAACUCAAAUGAAUUGACGGGGGCCCGCACAAGCGGUGGAGCAUGUGGUUUAAUUCGAUGCAACGCGAAGAACCUUACCUGGUCUUGACAUCCACGGAAGUUUUCAGAGAUGAGAAUGUGCCUUCGGGAACCGUGAGACAGGUGCUGCAUGGCUGUCGUCAGCUCGUGUUGUGAAAUGUUGGGUUAAGUCCCGCAACGAGCGCAACCCUUAUCCUUUGUUGCCAGCGG